UACGUAGGUGGCAAGCGUUGUCCGGAUUUAUUGGGUUUAAAGGGUGCGUAGGUGGUCUAUUAAGUCAGUGCUGAAAUAUCCCGGCUUAACCGGGAGGGUGGCAUUGAUACUGAUGGACUUGAGUAAAGUUGAGGUGGGCGGAAUUGACGGUGUAGCGGUGAAAUGCUUAGAUAUCGUCAAGAACACCCAUUGCGAAGGCAGCUCACUAAGCUUUAACUGACACUGAGGCACGAAAGUGUGGGGAUCAAACAGG
rnacentral:rRNA from 1 species